UACGGGGGGAGCAAGCGUUGUCCGGAAUUACUGGGCGUAAAGAGCUCGUAGGCGGUUUGUCGCGUCGACUGUGAAAACUGGGGGCUUAACUCUCAGCUUGCAGUUGAUACGGGCAGACUUGAGUUCGGUAGGGGAGACUGGAAUUCCUGGUGUAGCGGUGAAAUGCGCAGAUAUCAGGAGGAACACCGGUGGCGAAGGCGGGUCUCUGGGCCGAUACUGACGCUGAGGAGCGAAAGCGUGGGGAGCGAACAGG
rnacentral:rRNA from 1 species